GACCCGCUCGAUAGCCCCCGCCUCGCCGGCCCGGACGAUGUAUAGGGCGCGCUCUUCAUCCAUGGCCGCAGGUGCGGGGGAGCCGCGGCCGCUGCGCGCGCCCCAGCCGCUGCCUCCCAGAGGUCCUGAGUUCAAUUCCCAGCAACCACAUGGUGGCUCAUGACCAUCUAGAAUGAGAUCUGAUUCCCUCUUCUGGGUGAAUAUCUGCACAUGUGAAUGCAACUACCCAAAGAGUCCAGACAAGAGUGUCAGAUCCCCUGGAGCUGGAGUUAUAGGCAGCUGUGAGCUGCCUGAUGUUGGUGCUGGGAACAGUGCCCACUCUUAACUGCUGAGCCAUCUCAAACGCCUUGUGCAAUUGUUUUUAAUGAGAGAAAAUUCCA